rnacentral:ncRNA from 1 species
AAGGGUUCUCAGGGCGGGGUGAAAUUCCCCACCGGCGGUAUCCGGCAAUGCCGGGAGCCCGCGAGCGCUUUCACCCCUGGUGAAAGGCAGCAGAUCCGGUGCGAUGCCGGAGCCGACGGUUAGAGUCCGGAUGAAAGAGAGCAUCG